rnacentral:rRNA from 1 species
UUAUAAGAGACAGCAGCAGCCACGGUAAUACAGAGGGUGCGAGCGUUAAUCGGAUUUACUGGGCGUAAAGCGUGCGUAGGCGGCUUUUUAAGUCGGAUGUGAAAUCCCUGAGCUUAACUUAGGAAUUGCAUUCGAUACUGGGAAGCUAGAGUAUGGGAGAGGAUGGUAGAAUUCCAGGUGUAGCGGUGAAAUGCGUAGAGAUCUGGAGGAAUACCGAUGGCGAAGGCAGCCAUCUGGCCUAAUACUGACGCUGAGGUACGAAAGCAUGGGGAGCAAACAGGAUUAGAUACCCGAGUAGUCCCUGUCUCUUAUAC